ensembl:lncRNA
UCUCUGGGCCUUAAGCUGAGGGAUGAAGACUGGCUGUGCCUAGCCUAGAGACUACAUAACACUUGGCUGUCAGUCUCCUCUGGUUCCCAAAUGGACUAUCUAAAAACUGUUUUCUGAUGCUUUGCUGGCAACCAGUGGAAGAAGUCUGGAGCCCAUCUGCAUUCUGCAGCAGCAUGCACUGUCUGAGCAACAGCAUUAAGUGUCUGUGCUUACUAUGUCAGAUCUGUCAUGCCUUUUCAGUUUCUGUUACCAUUUUUUAACUGCAUGUCCUUCAAUUGGCCCAUCUUCUGGAAAAUUUAUCAUUGAACACCAUAUGGCGCACAUCCUGGACAUCAUUCAUCAAUAUAAUAUAAUGCUUUCUGUCCCCCAGUUGUGGAUCUUGGAG